rnacentral:lncRNA from 1 species
GAACACAAUGCGUGUGAAAAAAUGAAAGCAGGUUUCAUUCUUGUGUGUCAUUUCCUCAGGUAAAGAGACGGCGAAGAAAGGAUGGGGUGAAUUAGAGGGAGGAAGAGGGUAAUUUUCUUGAACAAAAAGUAACACAAAUAUGAUCAACAUUACCGUAGUUUUAGUAAUCACAAUUACUGCUCUAUUUUUGUCCAUCUAUUUUUUCUUUUUUGGUAUAGGCACUAAAGUACAACUUUGCAAUUUAUAGUGCUGGAAAAGAUGAUUUUGCUCUAAUUUAUUUAUUUAAUUAAUUUGAGAUUCUUUUUUUUUCUUUUUUUUGGCAAGAAUUUGAAAUGUAUUUUUACGCAAACAAGAACGAUGGCUUCUCCAGCAAAAAAAUAAUAUUAAACGAUGGCUCCUGGAAAAUUAUGGGGGACUCUUGAAGAAUGCUGAAUUAAUAUUCUGCCUCUUGAAUGGAGCCACCGGUAAUUAACAAGUGCUUUUUAAUUGUUAAAACAAAAAAAAAAAACAAAUGUUAUUAGGACAAACUACAUAAAACC